rnacentral:rRNA from 1 species
CAGCAGCCGCGGGAAUACGUAGGGUGCGAGCGUUAAUCGGAAUUACUGGGCGUAAAGCGUGCGCAGGCGGUUGUGUAAGACAGGUGUGAAAUCCCCGGGCUUAACCUGGGAACUGCGCUUGUGACUGCACAGCUAGAGUAUGGCAGAGGGGGGUGGAAUUCCACGUGUAGCAAUGAAAUGCGUAGAGAUGUGGAGGAACACCGAUGGCGAAGGCAGCCCCCUGGGCCAAUACUGACGCUCAUGCACGAAAGCGUGGGGAGCAAACAGGAUUAGAUACCCGUGUAGUCCCUGUCUCUUAUAC